rnacentral:sRNA from 1 species
UAACUGAAGAAGAAGAAGAAGAAGAUGAAGAAGAUUUACAG